ACAGCUAAAGCAGCACUCAGAAAGAAAUGUAUAGCACUGAAAACCUAUAUUAGAAGAGAAGAAAGUUUUCAAAUGAACAAUCUAAUCUUCCAGGAUUAGAACAUUGAGCGAGCGAACUAAACCCAAAACAAGUAAGAGGAAAGAUAAAAAGAAAUUUGAGCAGAAAUCAAUAGACUUGGUAAUAGAGAAACAGUAGAGAAAAAUCGAUGACCGAAACCUGAAGUGUAUGUAAAAAUGUGGUUAGAAACUGCCUGAACUGUGGUUAGAAAGGUAGCAGGGAUAGACUUCUCUUUCCACU
rnacentral:lncRNA from 1 species